CGUGAUGAUGGAUGACGAAGAGUUGUCGUUGUAAAGAAUAUGGAAAUUGUUGUGUGAUGAAGCGUUGCUGAUGAACAACAAAGAAUCGAUACGUUUAAUCAUUAUUCUUUAACUCGCAAUUGUGAAAAGGUGAGCAUUUUCGUUUUCGAAUUCAAUGCCUCUGUUAUCUUCUUCUUCUCUUUUCUUUGGUUUUGUUAGAAGUUCCUGUGAAGCUCCUCCGAUUUCUCUAUUUCUAUUUGAAGUUUUUGUUUGCUUCUCCUGUUUCCGCCAAUUUCCGUGAUGUGGUAAGUGUUGGGUUGUUAUGGAGGUUCUAUUAUGGAAAUUGGAGGUUGAAGUUAUGCAGCGUUUGUUCUGGGAAUCAGUUAAAGGUUGUUAGGUUUCGGUUAGGGAAUUAUGUCGGAACAGGUUGGAAAUGACGUUUCUGUUAUGAGGACUUGAUGCAGUUGGAGGUUUUUUUGUAAGGGUGGAGAGUUGGUUCUGUUAUGAGUGAUGGAGAAGUUUGUUAUUCUAUUAGGGAUUGGUUUUGAGGGGUUUCAGUUGAGGUUUUGGAAGGGUUGAAGCAGGGUCUUCAAGAUGAGUUAUUAGAGGGGAAUUUGAGUUGGCCUUCUGUUAUGCUAGUUAGACGGAUAUCUUAUGAAUGGGGAUUCUGGUGGUGAAUUAACUUGCAAAUCAUGCUAUAUUCAGUUAGUUCGAAACCAAAGGUUAGUUACGAAUUUGUUAGUUAUGGAAAAGUUUUUUUAAGGCUGUUGUAGGGUUUUUUUUGUAGGAGAUUAAUUGAGUUGGUUAUGAGGAAGUGGAAUGAAGUUGCAGGUUUGAUUCCUAGGGCGGUUAAAAUUCGGUUCCAUUUUUAUGACAGUUGGAAAAUGGCUAUGUUAAAGGGUUAGAAAGGAUGGCUUGAAGUUUGUUCAAAAGCAUUUAGAAGCUUAGAAUUCGAUUCUGAAAUGGAUAUGUUAUGAAGACUUGAACUUGAACCAUGACACAUUGGUUAACCAUGUUGGUAUGUGGCUUGAAGUGGUUGGGGAACGGUUAGUAGUUAGUGAAAUGAAGAGAAGUUAGAAGUUGUUAGGAAUUGUUGAAAAGUGAAAUCUACUGUUAUGAAUUUGCAGGUGAAAACUGUUUUUUUGAAUUCAGUUUUUUCUUUCUUGGAGUUUUCAUUGGUUUUGUAUGUUAUGCAGGUUAGUGAUUUUUUGGAAUUUUGAUGUAAGGAUUACUUAGAAUUGCUAUGGGUCGGAUGGAUUGAUUUGGCUUGGAUUGAUGC
rnacentral:lncRNA from 1 species